UGUGUUCAGACCUUAAGAGUUCAGACACAUCUUUAAGCCUACGCCACGCUCGUGCUUAUCACUAUUUCAUAUUUCUUUGAACCGUGAUUUGAACCGUGCUUUGAACGUCAGUGAUAAGAUUCCAAGGCAGGCCGAAAAGUUGUUAAUAAGAGAAAUUGGAAUUUUACAAUCGCACAUGUAUUCCGUGGAAAUCCAGUAAUUAUGAGUGUACUCAUAGUUCAUUGCAUGAUUUUUUCUUGUCUAAGUGACAGCAGUGCAGAUAUUUCCUGUACAGAGUGGUAUGAUAGUUAAAGCACCAAUCCUUUUAAUGGUCUUAAUCCUACGUCCCUAUCCAACAACGAACUAUACAAAUUGGAAGUGGACAAUUAUUGGCAUUGAUUCAGUUUGGUUAUUUUACCUAUCUAAGUUAAACAGAAAUGUCAAAGGUUAUAGUUGGUGAUUUAAAAAAGGUGAUCAACAAUUUGAGCAAGAAAAUUUUGCAGUUUCAGGUUGUUUCUGGUUGUGCUGGAAACGCUAUCUGUUGGCACCGUGGACGGAAUGACGUAUGUACUAUUACGUAAGAAGGAAGAGUAUGUACCCAAAUAAGACUGAAUUGAAGAUGGUCAGAAAAUAUGUAAUGGUGUUAAAUAUGAUGCCCAUGGAUUUCCUAAGAAUUUGCAACGUUAGGUGUCGCAGCCAAUAAUUAAGCUAGGUGAAGUCACCGGCGCUAGAUGGCGUUGUGGUGCGCACCAAAUGGGCUUUGGUACCGAUACGAAGCACAAUAGAUGGCGUAUGGAUGCGAACACUAACACAAGAUGGCGUCCUAUGGAUCGAAUCACAACAUUGGAUGGCGUUUGCUGUUGUACUUUAUACAGACUGCCAGCACAGUACAUUCCAGUACUGAAGCUUCUUGGGGCACCAAUGUACGAACAACAUACCAGUUACCUUUAUCAGCUACGUGAACUCUCUGGCGAUGUAAAAGGUUGCCAAAUACUGGAAUGCUCUGCGUUUCGAAACUGAAGAUUCACCAAAUUGUAACAUGCGGCAGCUUAACUGGCUUCUACAGCCACGACUACUCCUGGAUUUCUUCAUGACCUAGUGUACUAGUGACCCUUGUGCUAGUGAAGUUUUCGUUUUUAAGCAUCGCUUUUUUAACUGCGGCGGACGGGGGACUUCUAUAUGUUCCAUGCUGCAUUAACCUGGAAGGAACCCACAUUAUCAAAAUAAGAAAAUGAAAGCAGUAUUUGGAGUCUAUGAAGCCAUCUAUUCCUUAUUGAAGAUCUAGCUUAAGGGUGAAAAACAAAAUCAAAUUUAAGCCAAGCAGUUUGUCGGAAACCGCACUAAGUAAUAUUGAACACCUUGUCAACACAAUGAGGUGCUAGUGGAAUGUUUGAAUAUACAGUGAGAAGCCCAUCAAAAAUUCUUGGAGUUGGAUGGACUUUACAAGUACAUAUUAUAGAUAGAGAAUAAUAAUGAAUUGGAAAAUCAUUUGCAUAAGUGUUGGAAUGUCCAUAAAAUUAUAACAGUUGUGAUAUCAAUUAUUUCACUUCCACAUGCAUGG